UUAGUGCCUAUUAUGUGUAUAUAUGACCAUUUUGUUGUUAAUUCUCUUUGAGUUUUGAAAGUUUCAAGUAGUUACUCUAAUUUAGAUGAUUGGUUUGUUAAAAGGACUGGAACAUUGUUGAAUAUGAGGACUCUUGGUUUUUCCCAUAUGUAAGUAUGAAGAAAAUAGAUAUAGGAUUAGAACUUUUACUUGAUUUGCUGAUUGAUACAUGGGAUUCGAUAGAGAAUUGCCUAUUGGAUCC
rnacentral:lncRNA from 1 species